AGUGAUGAUUUUUUGCAUGUUUCUGAGGAAAGGUGAUCUGAAGUUCAUCAUAGGAAUGAUCAAGUGCAGGUAUGUAUCUGUGGCGAUCUUGGGAAUGUUGAAAUAACUUUUGCGUGUGUAUUUUUUUUCUCAUCUUUGCACACGGGUAAUUUUGUUACCUCAUGCUAUACUGAAAAUCAUGUGCUGGGUGGUCGAAGACAGGAAGUGGUUAACUUGUCACAAGUAAAAUGAACCUGCAGCACCUUAUUUGAAAGUUUUUGUGAUGAGCAUGUGAUGCACAAUGCAGCUCCUGAUAAUUUGGUGUGCUAUGUUCAUUUGCCUUUUCAGAGAAAAUAAAGUUUCUUCAUGUGAUGUGAUGGCCGAAGUACGAAGAGGAGAAACAAAACGUGUUUCCCCUGGACAAAAUCUGACAGUCGAGUGUCCCGUCAAACACUGUGGGGAGUCAUUCAAUGUCAGAUGGUUUAAAUUCUCUAAGACGUUAAAGAACUGGGAGGCCAUUCCAGUUAUGGAGAACAUAAAAAUCACACAGAAAUACAAUAAA